CGGGGGCGCGGCCUUCGUCCCCCGCCCCCAGCGGGCGCGCCGCAGCCUCGCGGGCGCAGGACCCGGCCUAGGGCCCCGCGUCCCGGCCCCCUGCAGCAUCCUUGGCGACCCUGGGCCCCACUGACGCCGCCGCCUCGCCCCAGCGGGACUCUGGAGUGAGCCCGGCCCGUGGGCAAUGACGGCAGGCCUGUGUGCGUGGUCAGGCGGCAGGGCGCGGUACCCAGGCCCCGGGCCCCUGGCCCCUUGUUCCUCCCGGGCAAAGCAGUCAUUCGCAAGAUGGCUGAGCAGCAGAUAAUGCAUGUGCUUCAAAGCCUGACAACCCCAGUUUGAUUUCCAGAACUCCCAGAAGUUAUCCUCUGACUUCCAUAGCAUGUGCACACGUGCACAUGCGUGUAAAAAUAAAACACUGAGUGUCAUGGAAGAGUCA